CUAACCCUCUCUGUCUCUAACCCUCUCUGACUCUAACCCUCUCUGACUCUAACCCUCUCUGUCUCUAACCCUCUCUGUCUUACCCUAACCCUCUCUGUCUUACCCUAACCCUCUCUGUCUUACCCUAACCCUCUCUGUCUUACCCUAACCCUCUCUAUCUCUAACCCUCUCUGUCUUACCCUAACCCUCUCUGUCUCUAACCCUCUCUGUCUCUAACCCUCUCUGUGUCUAACCCUCUCUGUCUUACCCUAACCCUCUCUGUCUCUAACCCUCUCUGACUCUAACCCUCUCUGUCUUACCCUAACCCUCUCUGUCUUACCCUAACCCUCUCUGUCUUACCCUAACCCUCUCUGUCUCUAACCCUCUCUGUCUCUAACCCUCUCUGUCUCUAACCCUCUCUGUCUUACCCUAACCCUCUCUGUCUUACCCUAACCCUCUUUGACUCUAACCCUCUCUGUCUCUAACCCUCUCUGUCUCUAACCCUCUCUGACUCUAACCCUCUCCGUCUCUAACCCUCUCUGUCUCUAACCCUCUCCGUCUCUAACCCUCUCUGUCUCUAACCCUCUCUGACUCUAACCCUCUCUGACUCUAACCCUCUCUGUCUCUAACCCUCUCUGUCUCUAACCCUCUCUGUCUCUAACCCUCUCUGUCUCUAACCCCCUCUCACUCUAACCCUCUCUGUCUCUAACCCUCUCUGUCUUACCCUAACCCUCUCUGUCUCUAACCCUCUCUGUCUCUAACCCUCUCUGUCUUACACUAACCCUCUCUGUCUCUAACCCUCUCUGUCUCUAACCCGCUCUGACUCUAACCCUCUCUGACUCUAACCCUCUCUGACUCUAACCCUCUCUGUCUCUAACCCUCUCUGUCUCUAACCCUCUCUGACUCUAACCCUCUCUGACUCUAACCCUCUCUGUCUCUAACCCUCUCUGUCUUACCCUAACCCUCUCUGUCUUACUCUAACCCUCUCUGUCUUACCCUAACCCUCUCUGUCUUACCCUAACCCUCUCUGUCUAACCCUCUCUGUCUUACCCUAACCCUCUCUGUCUCUAACCCUCUCUGACUCUAACCCCUCUGUCUCUAACCCUCUCUGUCUCUAACCCUCUCUGUCUUACCCUCUCUGUCUCU
ensembl:lncRNA